rnacentral:tRNA from 1 species
GCCGCGGUAGCUCAGCCUGGGAGAGCACCCGACUGAGAACCGGGUUGUCGGGUGUUCAAAUCACCCCCGCGGCACCA